GAUGAACGCUGGCGGCGUGCCUAAUACAUGCAAGUCGAGCGAACAGACGAGGAGCUUGCUCCUCUGACGUUAGCGGCGGACGGGUGAGUAACACGUGGAUAACCUACCUAUAAGACUGGGAUAACUUCGGGAAACCGGAGCUAAUACCGGAUAAUAUAUUGAACCGCAUGGUUCAAUAGUGAAAGACGGUUUUGCUGUCACUUAUAGAUGGAUCCGCGCCGCAUUAGCUAGUUGGUAAGGUAACGGCUUACCAAGGCAACGAUGCGUAGCCGACCUGAGAGGGUGAUCGGCCACACUGGAACUGGGACUCGGUCCAGACUCCUACGGGAGGCAGCAGUAGGGAAUCUUCCGCAAUGGGCGAAAGCUUGACGGAGCAACGCCGCGUGAGUGAUGAAGGUCUUCGGAUCGUAAAACUCUGUUAUUAGGGAAGAACAAAUGUGUAAGUAACUAUGCACGUCUUGACGGUACCUAAUCAGAAAGCCACGGCUAACUACGUG
rnacentral:rRNA from 1 species